rnacentral:rRNA from 1 species
UUGACGGGGCCCGCACAAGCGGUGGAGCAUGUGGUUAAUUCGACGCAACGCGAAGAACCUUACCAAGGCUUGACAUACACCGGUAACGCCCAGAGAUGGGUGCCCCUUUGUGGUCGGUGUACAGGUGGUGCAUGGUUGUCGUCAGCUCGUGUCGUGAGAUGUUGGGUUAAGUCCCGCAACGAGCGCAACCCUCGUCCUAUGUUGCCAGCGGGUCAUGCCGGGGACUCAUGGGAGACUGCCGGGGUCAACUCGGAGGAAGGUGGGGAUGACGUCAAAUCAUCAUGCCCCUUAUGUCUUGGGCUUCACGCAUGCUACAAUGGCCGGUACAAAGGGCUGCGAUACCGCGAGGUGGAGCGAAUCCCAGAAAGCCGGUCUCAGUUCGGAUUGGGGUCUGCAACUCGACCCCAUGAAGUCGGAGUCGCUAGUAAUCGCAGAUCAGCAACGCUGCGGUGAAUACGUUCCCGGGCCUU